UACGUAGGGUGCGAGCGUUGUCCGGAAUUAUUGGGCGUAAAGAGCUCGUAGGCGGUCUGUCGCGUCGGUCGUGAAAACUUGGGGCUUAACCCUGAGCUUGCGGUCGAUACGGGCAUGACUGGAGUUCGGCAGGGGAGACUGGAAUUCCUGGUGUAGCGGUGAAAUGCGCAGAUAUCAGGAGGAACACCGGUGGCGAAGGCGGGUCUCUGGGCCGAUACUGACGCUGGAGGAAGCGAAAAGCGUGGGGAGCGAACAGG
rnacentral:rRNA from 1 species